AGGUGCGCACUCUUCAAAUCUCACCCCGACUUUCCUUGAAAUAUUCCUUCGGCUGGUCCAGUGUUCAGAGACAACCCACCAAUUGGGUGUCUUCCGCCCAGUAGGCUCAGAGCAGCACUCCUAAUAGAAAUACAAUUCUAGACAAAUUGAAUGUAAGGGUCAGAUUGAUCACAGUGUUGAAAGGGCUAUGGGAGGAGGGCUGUUACCCUUUCCCCCUUGAGGUGCAGUUUAGGCACCAUCUUGCCAGCAUGACUUAGAUUCACUUCUCUCUAGGGAAGGCGGGAGACAGAUGUGGAAGGAACGAGGGAUCUACUCAGUCACGCUCCUGUUUAUGGUGAAAAUAUCCUGGGCCAGAUUAAUUAACAUAGUCAUUAUCUUGGCAGUUUUCAAACAUGGCAAUAAAUGCUAACAGCAUUGUAUGUGCAAGAUGAGAAUAAAAGAGGAAAUCUGGGCCAAUCAGGACCAGGAGUUGAUGUGACUUAGCAUUGCAAGUAGCUUAGCAUUGCAAGUAGCGGCUUUUGCUCCAGUAAUUAAAAGUGCAUACUGCAAGUGGUACUUUAGUUUCACUUUUCAUCAAAGGAAAAAUAUAUUCCAUGUGAGCUGUUUUAUAUACUUUUCCUAUUCCUUCCCUCCAGGAAGAAGUAUCCGUCCGGAAAGAAAGUGGUCGUGUAAAUCUUCUCCUUAGAACGUUUUUUUAAAAAAAUACUACAACCAAAAAAACUGACAUGUUCAUAUCAUGGUCCUUUCUCCAAUGAGAUCAACUCUUUCCAAAUACUAAUGGAAAGUUUCUGACCCAAAACAUCUCUGUCACAAUAGCUUCCACGUCACUUCUGAAGACACCGCUCGACUCACAGAGAUGAGCACUGAAGAGCCGCCAGGGAUACAGGUUGUGACUAUGCUGCUCGGUUUCCUAAGGGGAAGGCUGGAACCAGAGGACUUUGUAACUCCGGGUUUCAAAAUGGCCUAUUCUGGCCUCAAAAAUAGAAGCACACAUGAGACCAAAGUUAGUAACCGCAGCCCAGGACUGUGAACAUUUCCUGGUGAAUGACCAGAGGUUGGGGGAAGUGGAUGAGGGAGAGAGAUGGGACCUGUACUUAGCCUUGACGCCUUCCUAUUCUCCCCAGACUCCAUGAGUCCACACAGACGUCCAGUUACACUUUGGGCAGGUGUCAGAGCAGCCCUGCCUGCUGCUGGUAUUGUGCAUAUAAGGGAAGCAGAAAUAGAGGGGAUUUUUUUGUUUGUUGGGGUGUUUUCUGAGAUAGGGUCUCACUCUGUUGUCUAGGCUGGAGUGCAAUGGCAUGAUCAUAGCUCACUGCAGUCUAGACCUCCAGGCUCAAGCGACCCUCUCACCCCAGCCUCCCAAAGCACCGGACCACAGCCAUGUGCCACCAAGCCUGGCUAGUUUGUUUUUGUUGUUGUUGUUGUUGUUGUUGUUGUUUGUUUUUUGUUUUUUUUUGAUAAUCGGGUUCUUACUAUGUUGCCCAGUCUGAUGAAUAGUUAUAAAGCAGGAAUCAAGAGUUAGAUCAGGGCUGGGUGCGGUGGCUCACGCCUGUAAUCCCAGGACUUUGGGAGGCCGAGGCAGUGGAUCACCUGAGGUCAGGAGUUUGAGACCAGCCUGGCCAACAUGGUGAAACCCCAUCUCUACUAAAAAUACUAAAAUUUGCCAGGUAGGGUGACAGGCAUCAGUAGGGCCAGCUACUUGGGAUGCUGAGCCAGAAGAAUCGCUUGAACCUGGGAGGCAGAGGUUGCAGUGAGCAGAGAUCCUGCCACUGCACUCCAGCCUGUGUGACAGGAGCGAGACUCUGUCUCUCAAAAAAAAAAAAAAA
ensembl:lncRNA